GUUCAAUUGCUAUGUCUGGAACUGGGCAUAGAAAUAAUGACUGCAUUUGAUGGAAAACAAUGCAUGCCAAGAUGCUUUGUGUUUGGUUCAAGAAAGGGUCAGUGGAAUAAUAGGACCUCUCAAGAGGGUUCAAGGAAAGGAAAGCACACUUAUUACAACCACUCACUGAAACGUGCUGUGCCAAUUUACAAUCUCCUCACCUCUAAUGAUUUCUGUUGGGAAUUCAGUACAGUGUAAGACUAACCGAAGCUUCGUGUUGCUUCGGUGGUGGUUACGGUGACUACAGUGGACUCUGUUUGAGGCUUGUGAAGGUCAGUGGCUGCUGUAUAAUGAAGAAGAAGAAAUGUGUAACCCUGAUGUGCAGAGAGAGAGGCUGUUUGUCAAAGGGUCAGAUAACCGUCAUGGCAGUAAUUCACUGAUAUUGCCUGAGACUGCACAGAGCAGCGCUUUUUCAUGAUUUAUCUAGACAGCAAAAUCUACAGAGCAAUGAUGGAAUUUGUAAAUAGCGACAAAGUGCCGUUCUGGAGUCAGUGCAAUUCACAGUAUGUCAUAUGUAUAGCUCACUCUGCCAUUAAAGUAUGGAUUUGCUUCAGUUUGAGCUGUGGAUAUGUAAAAAUUGAUAAGCACUCUUGUGAAAUGAAUUCAGAGUGAACCAUAUGAAAGGGACUUGUUAAAUACUGAGCAGCAGGUUUUCUGUCUUUACUGUAAAGUUGCUUGAAAUUGAUUGUGCCGUGCAAUGUGAAAGUCUUUCAGUGUUGUGUUUUCACAUGUACAAGAGACUGCAUAUUUGAAGUAAUAGCUUGUUUCAUCCACUGAUCGAUCAGAGUGUUUAUUUGUUAUUUGAAAGCAGGCAGCGGAGGCUAACAAGCUCCAAAGUGAAACGUUUAGAUGAUAUAUAAAGGUUUGAAGUCUGUAGCUUGUCGCACAAAGUACCUCUCUGUCACGCACUUUUAUUAAUUUCUCUCUUUGUUCUCAGUUUCAUCAAACAAAUGUGGUAGAGUUGUUUUCUUUUCUGCACAGUGAGCGGUCUGUGACACGUAUACAAGCUUUCGUGAUGUGAACACAAAGUUGAUCAAGUCUGGUACCAUUUGAGGUGAUGCUUUAUGCACAAUUCUCCUCAAGGUAGCUUUUUUCUGCUUUUGCUGUUGAUGGGUUGUUUUGUACUUUGUAUUGUCUAUAAUAAACAGACACAGUUAUUGCAA